UAGGGUACUGUCGCCUAUUUAACAGGCGAGAACAAGAUCUCACGCAUUAAACAAGUAAGAGCUUAUGGGUCUCGGUAUUCAGUGUAUUAAAUAACUAAAGAGAGGAAAUUUUCGCUCGUUCAGGGAGCGAAAACUUGGUUUUGGCUGUUGAACAGGUGAGACCUUCGUAGUUGUGGCACUGAGUAGACCCACUAAAAGGUUUUGCCCGUUGAAUAUGCGAGAUCUUUUGGGUAUUUAAUCCGGUCGUGUCGGCCCUAUCAACGUCAGUCUCAUUUUAUUCCAACACACCCAAGAGGAGAGGAGGAAAGUGGAGGUGGGAAAUUGCGUGAUGAAGCUAUAUCGGAGGAAAAAAAAGUAUGUUUUUUUCUCUAAUUUAUUUAUAAACCUGAUUUGAUAUCCAUAGUGUUAGAUUUUGAUAUGGGUUAGAUGCUAGAUUUAGAAUUAUUUUACAAACCUGGUAGGAUAGUCACUAGAAGUAAAUUAGAAUGUAGAUCUAGUUUUAAAAUUAUGGUUAGAUAUAGUUUAGUGAUUAGAUCUUUUUUAUACGUAUUUUUUAGCAAUUAGAUCUAGUAUUUAGAUCUAUGUUAGGUAUUAGAUGUAGGAUUUAGAUAUAAGCAGAUGUAGGAUUCAGAGGUGUUUGAUAUAGUGACUUAGGGAUAUUUGUUGCGGUAUAGAUUACUUGUUGGGCUAUGUUUGUAAUUAAUUUUUUAUUAUGGAUGUAGUUUUACAUAAUUAUUUCUAUUUUAUCUCAAUAAUGUUAGUUUUUUUGUUGAUGGUUGCCAAAUAUGUUGGAUAUAUGGCAGUUUAUGAUUUUUAUGAGGAUAUUGAAAUAUUAUAUGGUUCAGAAGGGAUAGUACUGUUCGUAUUUCACUCAAUGGAUAAGGGGAUUCUGAGACCUAUGCACAUAAGUGUCGAAUACUUGUAUAUAUGGUUGAUGUGGGGUUUCCAAAUAGACCUCGAGGUUAAAGAGAUGACUAUUAGCAUUGUGAGCAACCGAGUGAGAAAUAGUGUGUACUGGGAGGUGUACCCGCUCUGAGAAGAUUCAGUGUGGAAGAGAUAAUUGCAGGAUAUUGUGCAUAGAGGCUGAUCUCCUAUGUUGCUUGUGUAAUGAAAAAAUAAGGAGGCAAUGGUGGGAGAUGCAGGGUGGGGUUACGCGGAGGAGGCGGGUGAUGAGGAAGGGUAUGAUGAUGAUGUCGAUCCGGAUGGUGUACAUCUAUCAGAGUAUCUAACGGAACCGACCGGUGAGGUAGAUGAGGGGAAACAAAUCCCUUCCCUAAUUGAACAGAUAGAGUGAGAUGAUCUUCAAGGUGACGAAUCCCCUGAGUAUGACAUCUCGGAUGAUGAGGGCGAUGCUUGUGUUCCCGCGGACUGGAAUAAUCUCAACUUCAACAAUCUUGUGGUGAAUGAGAAGAAUCAGGUGGCUUGCGAGUAUACGCAGAAUGAGGUGACCCAGGGUGCCAGGUAUCCUACCAGUCAGGUCAUGAAGGAUGCAGUGACUCAAUGAGCGACAUUGGUUCGACAACAGUUUUAUGUUGUGAAGUCAAGCAAGAAAGAAUGUAAUGUCAAGUGCGUGAAGACGGGCUACCUGUGGCGGGUGCACAGCUUUAAGGGGAAAUGGGUCGACUAUUGGGAGGUGUUGAUUGUGGUCGACCACACGUGCAAGAUGGACAAACUUGAGCCCAACCACAGGAACAUCAUAUCAAUCUGUGUCGCUAAUGUGAUGUAUAUUCAGAUUGUGAACAACAUGAACUAUGAAACAGGAUCCAUAAUUAAGCAAAUUGAGGAGUAGUAUAAGUACACUAUCAGCUACAAUAAGGCAUGGAAGGCGAAGAGGAAGGCAAUUGAGAUGAGGUUCAGGACAUACGAAAUGUCAUAUGAUAAUUUGCUUCAUUUGCUGCAGACUAUUGCUCAAAAAAAACUCGGGGAUGUAUUACAACAUUGAUAAGUACUCAUUGUUAUCAAAACUUGACAAGUACGUCUUGAAGCAAUCUUUCUUUGCAUUAGGAGCAUGCAUAGAAGCUUUCAAGCAUUGCUGGCCUAUCCUGUGCAUCGAUGACAUUUUUCUUACCGGCAAGUACAUGGGGCAGAUACUGAUUGCUAUUGGGGUUGAUGGGAACAACCAAGUUCUGCCGUCAGCCUUUGCAUUUGUGAAGAGUGAGAACACCAGCAGUUGGUAUUGAUUCCUGUACCGUGUGAGGAUGAUAUUUGUUGGUGCUCUGUUGAAUGUGUCUUAUACAUUACCAGCAUACUGGGAUGCUCGCGACAAUUAAGGAUCUGCAAAGUGGAACAGAUGAUAGCUUGAUUGGACCUGUGUGGAUAGAUCUACAGAGUAGGUGGUGCAUGAAAUAUUUGAGUGCAAACUUCUUCCGCUAAUUCAAGAACAAGAAACUCAUGAAUAUAUUCAAGGGGUUGUGCAGUCAAAACCAGCAAUGGAAGUUUAACACUCUUUAGAAGACACGGGAUGAGCUACAAAGAAGCAAACACAUGAGCGUGUAGGGAGGCUCGUGAGCGGACUAGAUGACGAACCAGUACCUCUUGAGUCUCUGCCAAUGGACAAUAAAGCUAGUAUCACGUGGAGGAUCGGGUCAUCUACCAGGUCAUUUAGCGAGUGGAUUGAGAAUGAGCCAAAGCAGAAGAGGGCUCUUCUCUACAACACAAACGAGGCUAGGUACGACAUUAUGACUACAAAUUUAGCAGAGGUUUACAAUUGGGUGAUGAAAGGUGUGAGGGGGUUGCCAGUAGUGGGGAUUGUAGAGUUCAUACUUCAAGGGACCUGCAACUAUUUCAGGGACCGCUAUGCGGUUGUGCACACGACGCUUAAUGAUGUUCGUCUGAUUUAUGGGACGAAGAUGACUAAGUAUAUGGAAGAAAAGGGGAAGAAGGCAAAGGUGCACCGGGUGAAGAAUAUGGGAACUGUAUAACACAGAUACGAAAUUCUAUGCAAGGAUAAAAGAAGGAGAGGGGGCAAGCAUGAGAGAGUUAUUCACGAGUGCACCAUCUUCGAUGAUAGGUGCAUUUGCACCUGCUACAAGCGGAUGCUACUACAGAAGCAAUGCUCCCGUGUGAUUGCCGCGUGUGCUGUGACGGGUAUGAGGACUCGGAGGUACAUCUCCGAGUACUUUAAGAAGGAAGCUCUAUUCGACACCUGGAACCAUGAGGUCUACGGUUUCGAGAUUUAUAGUUCUUUCACGAAGGAACAUGGGCUCGAUUGUGUAUUCAUCCCUGAUUCUGACAAGAUAAAGCAGAAGAAGGGAUGACCCAUGACUACGAGGCUCCGUAAUGACAUAGAUGAAGCAGAAGCUGGGUGUCACAUGAAAUUGUGCAGCAAGUGCAACGGUACAGGACACACUUACAAGAAAUACACCGUUGGUGUCCCAUGUGUGAACCCCACGAAAGCAGGUUCUUCCAGAUCUGGUGCAGCUGAGAGACGUCCUCGGGUUCUUCAGUCUUUAGCUAGGUAUGACGCACCUGGAGCUGCUUGACCCUGAGCUCAAUGUUAGGCACUGUUCGUACCGCUGAAGGCUGAGGAGCUUCCGCUACUACGACCUUGUGUGCCGGAUGAGCUCAUGAGGAUCAACGAGCACUAAAUUUUGAGAUUUUUCCAUUUUGAAUUUAAUGUUUCGUACCAAUUUUUAUCAUUAUUCAUCUCUAACUGUAUUAUGUUUGUAGAUUGCGUGCUACUGGUUUACUUGCACUGUGUCGGCUGGUGGAGGUGGAUGUGUUGGCGGGAGCCUCGGAGGCAGUGAUGCGGUUCAGCUACAACAGGGCCCUCCAUGCGGCCCUGUUCCACCUCCCGUGCGGUGAGAUGGUGCUCAUGCUCAAGGACGUCUCGCUCCUGAUGGGUAUGCCUUGCACAGGUAUUGUUGUUGGGGCUAGGUGGAGAACAUUCACCCACAGGCUAGCGAUGAGGACGUCUCCCAUCACCUGGAGGCGUACCUCAUAUGGUUGGAGGGUGGGUCAUGUUCACUGAGACCCACAUCAACAUGGUCUCGAGGAGAAUAAUCUCCUAUGCCAGAGAGGUUGCGGACGCCGACCCAGGGGAGGUCCCGUAGUACAGUUGGGCUUCAGCUGUGUUGGCUAUGACGUACCGUGUCUUGUGCAAUGGCUGCACGAAGACCGACAUCAACGCGAUCCUCACCAGGUGCAGAUGGCGCAUAUUAGAUAGCUGCAGAUGACGUCGAUGACUUGACCAUGGGGUCCUUGUGGUGCAAACGUAGGUUGGUCCAGCAUGCAGACACACCAUGUGUACCCAGACUUUAUUCUCUAGUUCGAUGAGCUGACGGCGGAUUGUGUCCGCUGGAGGUUGUACACGGAGGCCGAGGUACAUCGAUGUGCUCCGCUAGGACUUUUGGUUCUAUGCUUAUGUGAUCGAGAGUACUGGCUCACGACUUGCGCCCUCGUCUUUGAUAUCUAUGUUGAGGAGUACUCACUGCAUUACGUGAUGCGGCUGUUUGGAAAGUUCCAGGUGUUCCCACUAUAGGUGACUAUCUCGGUGCCUAUCAACAUACACAGGUUGACGCGGAUGGGGGCUCAUUCCACGAGCGUAUUUGCAUCGUGUGUGCAGCGGUGAGUUGACGAAUGGGACCAAGCUGUCGAGCACGUCGUGGAUGAGGAUCGGUCACACUCUGAGGAGGUGUACGCGGAGUACCUCUCAUAGUUCAUGCCUCAAACGCAGAUUCAGGUCAUGUACACACCAGUAGAGCUUCCACGGCACGUGAUGGACAUGCAGGACACGUACCUAACGCACAGGGACCAGACGUGUUCUU